GCGCCUCCCCGAGCUGAGCCGCGCGUCCCGAGCCCAGCCUCUCCGGGGAGGAGGGACCCGGCGGCGCGGCGUGGGUCGGGAGCGGGCGCCUGGGACUACUUCUCGUUUGAAAGUUUUCAGAGGCCAAAAGUUUGAGCCGGGGCUGCGGAAGGAUCCGGCUCUGGCGGUUGCCGCGCUCGGCGACAACUGGCGACUGAAAUUUGCAUGUGAAUAAGCGGAGGAGCCCGGGGCGGAAUGGGGAGGGCGAGGCCGCGGACAGCCGUGUGCACCGUGCGCUGGGCCGGGCGGGGAGCAGCUGAGGCCACGUUGGGGGACCCCGGGCCCGGGGCAGGGCUCUGGGAGAGUGGCCUAGCCGUGUGUGCGCCCCUAGCCCAGCGGCUUCACUCCCUCCCGAGGGCCCCGUGGCCGCGGCUUUAGGCGUCCAGAGGAUCGAUCGCCGCCAGACAUCCCUGGCCGUGAUUGCCCGAGCACUUGACCGCGAGGGAUGGGGGCGCCGCGGCCUCUGGGCAGGGGACUCCGGGCGCCCCGAGGGAGCAGCCGGGACCAGUGCCUCGCGGACGGAUUGUGCCCCGCUCCCCCAAGGGGGACCCGCGUCGACACGCUCCUCGGUCACCGUCCUCCUCCUGCCCGGGCGCCGCCUGCCUAAGGUGGCCCCAGAAAGCACAAACGGGUCGGGCGGAUCUGCCGCUGGCGCCGGCGCAGCCCUUCCCACGUGCUCCUUCCGGCUGAUUUAUUUCUCCACCACGAUGCCAGGCACGGGCACCCUGUGCCAAGCCUGGUUAAGCGCCAGGAGUCCAAAAUGCCUGCCAUAGUCCCUGCGCAAAGUUCACGGCCUCGUGCCAGGGACAGACAGCGCCCCCUCCCCACCCCAACACAGGGUGGUGAGUGCGAUGGCAGAAGGCGCGUGUCCCGGCGCCCCUCCUGGAGUAGGAGGGCUAAGCCUGCCCUGCGGGGAGACCGAAAGGCUGGGAGGGACCUAGGACUGUGGGGGCCUGGGGGGAGGGCUGCAGAAACCCCAGAGCAUGGUGGCAGAGGCAGGCACAGAAAGCAGGACAAAUCUCACACCUGACCCCAGCAAGCCUUUCCUGGCACACCUCUUGCCAAAUGCUGAGCACUCUGGAAACAGCCAGUGCAGGCGGCCUGUCCCGCCCCUGUAGCUGCUGCUGGGAGCCUCCCUCGCCUGCGUCCUCCCAGAAUCUGGCCUCACUUCUGCAGGCCUGGGGUAACAUCUUGGGGUCAGCGCCCCAGGAGAGGAGGCGCCUGGAGGCAGCAGAGAUGUUUAUGUAACAGCAGCCAGGCAGCCUGGAGGAGCAGAUUUUCCAUAGAAGGAAGCGCGGGGCUGUGCAGCUCCCAGGCUGAGGACUCUGCCCACCACGACGUCCUCUGCUCCUGCAGAGAAGAGAGUGGCCCAUUCGGUGUCCACCCGUCAGGCCACCCAGCAGCCAGGCACGCUCAUAAGCCCGCGUUACGGAUGGUGCGGCCGGGUGCACAGGCCCGAGGGAAGCACAGGCCUCGGCCUCCCAGCUCCCAACCCCUGCACCACCCACAGCCGGGAGUACCCCAUGGACAGCUGUGGCCGAGGAGAAGCCAGGGAUGAGGGGGAUGGGCCUCACCUCCCCACCAGCCUGGGAAGGGGGUAGGCCCCUGGCAAGUAGGUGAGAAGCUUUUUCAUUCACAAGUUGUCCGGGCUCCCCAUUCCUCUUUGUCAGGCCAGCGGGUGUGGGCAGUCGGGGGAGGCUGGGGUCCUGACACAACAGGAGUACAUCUGCUGGCCUAGGGCCUGGAGACCUUCUCCUACAGGUCGGGAGGCAGCCCUGGGCAGCGGGCAUUGCGGGGACUAAAGAGAAACAAGAGCAGGUUGUGUGCAGGGCACCCCAGCCACUCCAGAAACCCAAUGGGAGGGUGGGGGCUAGGACCCCAAGAAGCUGAAUUGGGGUGCAGUGCCGCCAGGCCUCCCCUGUAGGAGUCACUUUGGGCUUCCUGUCCCAACUUGUGGUGGGAGCUGGGGCAAGGUUCCAGGGGUACCCCGAAUGAAUGGGGCUGUUCCCAAGCUGGCCAGGGAGCCUGGAAGCAGAUGAGAUGGGGCCGCAGAGCCUGGUUUGCGGAGGGGAGAGGCAGACGUGUCCUGCAGCCCUCUCUUCUUCAGAGGCCCCCUGCGGGUGCUGAGGGGAGAGUGGCUUAGGCGUUGCACCCCAGGAGACUGAACUGGGUCAGUUCCCCCUUGUUUGCUGCCAGAGAAAUGGGGGUACCAUUGUCAGGGUGAGCUAAGGAGGCCCUGCUGACAUUGGCCCAACCAGGCCCCUCCUUUGCGGCUGCUGUGGGGACUUUCGAGAGCAGAGCACACCCCUAAGUGCGUGGAGAGGAGGGAAGCUGAGGCUCAGAGACAUCAUGAGGAUGCCAGCUCAAGGCCCAGCCAGGCCUUGGUCCUCAGCUGCUGUCAUCCAGUAGGGUAAGUGGGACCCCCAGGAGGUGUUGGGGGACACUCCUCCCCUCCCCCACACUCACAGUCUGUUCACCGCCCAAGGCAGCAGGCUGGACUCGGUGCAGGGACCAUGGCUUGGCGUGGCCAGGUUGGAGUGGCCCCUGGGACUGAAAGCAGGGGGCGUGGGGGCUCUGAGGCGGGGCCGAGUGCGGGGACGUCCUGUGGCGGGUACCCUGCUGGGUCCUGGGUGGGGGCCACCACCAGGCAGCUGUGGGAACAUUCCAGACCACCUAGGAGUAGGGCCCCUUCACCGUUUGAAGCUGACUGUAAAAAACAUCUGACCUGUGUGCAAAGCUCAAGCCCAGAGGCCUCCAGGGUGUCCAGCCUCCAGGGUGCCUCCUACGCAGCCUCCACGUCCCCAUCCACUGCAGCCCCUGACCAUCGGGCACACCGUGGGGCCUUCGCUGGCCGCCGGGCCUCAGGUUCUGCUGCACCAAGUGAUUUUUAAAGCCCCAUCUGCCUUUCUCCACUUAUAAAGAACUUGGGACAUUUCCUCGAGGUUGGGCAUUUUUCCAGAUGUGGUUUCAGUGUCUCGCUUGCUACCUGGUCCCCUGUGCUGGGCGGUCCGCUGUGACGCACCUGGCAGUCCUUGCUCUAGGAUGGAUUCGGGCCGGCCCUUGUUCUGAGAACAGAGAACGGCCCUUGUUCUGAGGAGGCUGGGGUCUGGAAUCUGCUUCCUGGUCCCCUGCUGUGUGCAGACAGCCACCGUCACCCAGGCCCAGGGGUGCCUGCAGGUGCUGGGCAUCUCACCCUGGCCCCCACAGGGGCUCCCCAUGCCCUGCACCCCUCGGUCUGUGCCGGGGACUUCCCUGCUCUGCUGUUGCAGGCCUCGUCCUUUGCCGAGGGGGUCUCUUUCCCACGUGUCCCUGAGACUCCUCAGCCAUCCCAGAGGCUCUCGGCCGUCUGAGCACCCCUGACCAUGAAGCCUUCCUGGCCCACUCUCUGUGUGUGAGGCAGAGCCCAUCCCUACCAUUCCGACCCACACCAGAGGCUCCGGAAGGUUUGCUGACUGACCUGUGACUGCAAGAAGCUGAAGGAAUGUGGGCGCAGACCCGGCAGGGGCUUUUCUUGGUGCAAAGUCAACUGGCUGUCCAUGCAAGCCUGCUGCUGUGGCCAGCCCUCCCGCCAGGCGCCUGGGAGUCCCAGGGAGACGGCAGAGGCAGUGCCUGGCUGGGGCCCUGGUUGGCGUGCCGUUUGAGGGGUGCAUGCACUGGGAAGUUGGCCAGGCCUGCCCAAAUCAGGGGGCUUCCAGGAGGAGAGACAUCAGGAGGAUGGGCACAGAGGCGGCUUAGCACCAGGGCUGGCACCUCCAGGUAGGGGCUGUGGGGUUAGAGGGACAAUGUUGGUGUCCCAAAGCACAGUCCUUUGCCCCGGAGGAGCCACCGGCAGAGCCAGGAGCCCCUGAAGGACUUUGACCACACCCCCCACCCCACCCCGACCUGUGCCUGGUGCCCCAAGUGGAGCCUGGGCCAUCCUUGACCUCACCGCUGGGGUGAUGGAGAAGCAGCCGCCCGAGGCGAGAGUUUCUCAGGUGGCCGGGGUUUCCCCCCAUUUGCUCCAGACACAUUUAAACAAGCUGAGAACUUCCGUCCCCCCAUACUCCCCCCCGCGGACCCCCACGGACCCCCUCUGCAAAUGAACAUGGGCCUGGAAAUCGGGGUGUGGGUUACAGAGAGCACGGGGAAUUCUGCUCGUGAAGUAACACGGAGCACGAACAUAAGCAGGUACCGCACAUCUGCGAGCUAUUCGGGUCUCCGGGGGAAGGCAAAAAGCCCCAACAAGCCUUAAGUAAGACCAGGACGCUUCUAUAGUUUUGCUUUGACAGCUAAGGAAAAAAUCUGCCAAAAACCAGAGGCGCUGCUGAGUGUUGGCGUGGGAAUGCUAGUUUAGUCAGAGCCUUGCUCUGGGCCAUUUAAAUAAAAACAGACAUGUUGGUGGCAAAUGCCAGUUGAACACGCAGGAGAGCGGUGCUUCUCGGGCCCGGAGAAGGGUUUGCAGCUGCACUCUCUCUUCCCUUUUCUCUUGGCCUCCCCAGCCUUCUUAUCAUCACGAUCAGCAUUUCACUGGUAAACAUUUGGUGCAAUAAUUUUCAAAAAUCAGCAAGAAAAGUCUGAGCGUUUCAUGUGGCUGUGACUGCGUGGCCCCAGCUGGAAGCAUGGAUUCCCAGCGCCUCCCAGAGCCUGUCUCCGAGGGAUACUCUAAUCACUUGAGGGCCUUUGCACGACAUAAAUCAGACCGACUAUCUCUAGAGUGGAGAGGGGGAUAAACUCACUUGUAGCAAGUGAAGGCCAGAGGCUGCCCUGGGAUGGCAUUGCCUGUUCCCAGGGGCUUGUGGUGGUGCAGCAGACAUGGGGACCCCUGGGCCCCUUCCCCUCCUUGCUGGGGAUGCCACACAGACCCACGUUCAGGGACCUGAAUUCAGAGCCUGCCCCAGGGGUGGCGAAUGUAUCUGGGACACUGAGGACCCCCCUACCGGGUGCAUCUCAUGGCCUUUUGGUCUUUUUUUUUGAGACGGAGUCUCACUUUGUUGCCCAGGCUGGAGUGUCAUGGGGCGAUCUCCGCUCACUACCACCUCCGCCUCCCGGGUUCAAGCAAUUCUCCUGUCUCAGCCUCCGAGUAGCUGGGAUUACAGGUAUGUGCCACCACGCCAGCUAAUUUUUCUAUUUUUAAUAGAGAUAGGGUUUCACCAUGUUGGUCAGGCUGGUCUUGAACUCCUAACCUCGGGUGAUCUGCCUGCCUUGGCCUCCCGAAGUGUUGGGAUUACAGGCGUGAGCCACUGCACCUGGCCAGCCUUUUGGUCUUGAAGGGUCUCUGGGAGGGCCUCAGAGAAUGUCUUGGUUUCCUCACUCUUGGGUUCCCAUCGACUGAGGUCAGGGCUGGGAAGGGGUGAUGAGCCCAGGACUCUUCUGGCGAGAGCGAGGGUCUAUGUUGGGGGGCUCCCUUCUGCCACCUCUCCUUGGUGACAUGGGGCUGGCUGGAGAGUCCCUCCGUGCCUGGGAGUUCCUCAGUGUAGGGGGGGAAGGGGGCCACUGCAAUGAAUCUGACACCAGCCCCCUCUCUCUCCGCCCUGCUGGCAGCCCUCACUCAUAUGGGGGGCGGGUCUGUCCUCCUUUCCCCAAAGCUGGGGGUCCUGAGUGUGGUUGGGGUAACGUCUGGUCCUCCUUAGAACAGUGGGGCUUGGAAUUCAUUCAAGGGAAGAAGAGUGAAGGAACGCAGAUGCCGACUGCAUGGAGCCCCCCCGGGCUGCAGCCCCUAGAGCCUGGGCGCUCUGUGAGCCAGAAAGAGAACGGCUGGGGAGAGGGCUGUGUGAGGCCCUGUUCUUCCAAGACCGCUGCGGAGGACCGACGGGGCCCAGGGACCCUGACUGAGGUGUGCCGAGCACAGCAGCUCUGGACAGGCCGCACCGGCCUCUCUGUCUGUCAUCUGUCCACCUGUUGGUGGGCAGGAACAGACCUGAUGCUGUAAGAAGAGGCCCCCAGGACCCUGCCUCUCCCAUUGGCUGAGCCUGGACUGUGGAGCCAGCCGCCCUCACACUGGGCACAGAUGACCGACUUAGGUUUUGAGAAGAUCCAAACAGCAGCAGGACGUGCACCUGGUAGGGGUAGGAGGGCCUCCCCUGGACUCAAAAGUGUAUUCGCGGAGCCCCUUCCCUGCAGCGUAGGCUCUGGGGGGACAGUGGCCAGGACGGAGGCCCUCGUGGAAAGGGGGAGAUGUGAACAGUGAGCCUCCUGCAUGCAGGCAUCUGGGAAAGAACAUUCCAGCCAAGUGGCUCUGAGCACACCCCGACCCUGGCCACCCUGGCCCUGUGGACCAACCCUGGGGCCCAGGAUUAAUGACAGCCAGUGCUCGCUGGUGCCUCCAGCCUGGGCCAGGCCUGUGGGCUGGUCCCUUCAAUGAUGGGGCAAGCUCAGCCCCGUCCACACCCUUCUCCUCCUCCUCUGUGCUUCCCUCCACCCCCAGGAGUGGGCUCCAGGUCUGUCACUCGUCACUCAUGGGGGGCUGUGGGUUGACUCGUAUUCCCCCAAAAGACUCGCUGUAUACCCCCAGAGCUUGUGAGCAGGACCUGUUUUGGAGAUGGGUCUUUGCAGAUGUCGUCGAGUUAAGACAAGGCCAUGCUGGAGUGGGGCCUGCCCUAAUCCAACGACUGGGGCCCUUGGCAGGAGAGGGAGGUUUGGGGAGAAGGCGCUGGGAAGACAGGCAGAGGCUGGAGACAGUGCAGCCCCAAGCUGGGAGCACAGGGGUUGCCGGCACCCAACAGAAGCUGGAGGAGGUGGGAAGGAUCCUCCCUAGAGCCUUGGGAGGGGGCCCGGUCCUGUGACACCCAGAUUUUGGAUUUCUGGCCUUCGGAACUGAGAGAGCACACAUUUCUGCGGUUUGAAGCCACCAAAUUUUUGGUAAUUUGUUCUGGCCAGGAAAUUAAUACCAGGGAUAAAGGUGUUUUAAUGCAGACAAAGACAGUUUUUGAAUUAACCAAGCUUUGCGCAAGGCUGCCGGGAUUGACUGGGGGAAGUGAGGGACUCAGCAGCUUCCCCGACGCUCGCCAGGCACCGGCCUCCAUACACGCUUGCUGGCGGUGGCUACGGCAGGUCGCUCUUCAGGUGAAACCACAUAAUGAGCAGCCUUAAGCCUGUCGAUUUACACAGCAGAGGCUGCCUGGCCUGGCGCUCUUCCUGGCUGGAGGACUCUGCCUUCCCCCUCUGCCUGCCUGUGGCCACUCCGGCUGCAGAGGAGACUGGCAGACGACGUUCUCAUCCCUGGUCGGGGCAAAAGUUCUGCUCAAAUAUGACAACGGUGAAACUCGGAAUAGCGACAGAGCCAACCCAUGAUUGAGGCAGGGCUGGAGGCUUUCUGGAAAACGCACGGAGAAACACGAGGGCCCAGCUGUGCCCUGGGCCGCCCCAUGAGUCCAGCCUUCUUCGUCCUAGUCCCUUCUCCAAAGAAAGGACAAAACCACUGAAAGGGUUCGUCUGGGUCACAAACGUCCCAAAUUGGCUUCCGCGUGGAAACUAAACAAGGGUAGGUCCCAGCCCCUGGGAUUCAGGUGAAACCCGAGGCCUGUCUGAGGUCACAGCGUCUUCCCGAGGACGUCAGCCCUGUUGGCUGUGUCUGGGGCCAGGCUGAGGCAUAGCGGGCCAGGAGGCCGAGCUUCCCAAAGGAGCUGCACUGUCUUUUCCUUAGAAUAUGAAAUCAAUGUCUGCCACCUUGAAUCCUCAUGGACAAGACUCCUUGGAAGCCAGCCUGUGUCAGGGCCAGCGUCCCCCAGGGCUGACACCUACACCCUCGCAUUCUCAGCGUGACUCGGGACAGUGGCAGAACCCGCUGGGUUCUCUCUACGGGAGUGCUUUUUUUUUUUCUUUUCUUUUUUUUUUUUUUUUUUUUUUUUGAGUCGGAGUUUCACUCUUGUUGCCCAGGCUGGAGUACAAUGGUGUGAUCUCGGCUCACUGCAACCUCCACCUCCUGGGUUCAAGCAGUUCUCCUGUCUCAGCCUCCCGAGUAGCUGGGAUUACAGGUGCACACCACCAUGCCUGGCUAAUUUUUGUAUUUUUAGUAGAGAUGAGGUUUCACGGUGUUGGCCAAGCUGGUCUCGAACUCCUGACCUCAAGUGAUCCACCUGCCUUGGCCUCCCGAAGUGCUGGGAUUUCUGGCGUGAGCCACCGCACCCAGCUCGGAGUGCGUUAUGACUAGAGGCAAAGACAGCAGCAUGAUCUUCAGCUUGCAAAUGAGACACAGAAUGACAAUGAAUCUUCACCGAAGUUAACUUGAACCUGGAUGGAUGAGUGGCCGGGUCGCCAAAAAGCUCCUCGGACCCUGCCAGAGUGUGAGCUCUGCCAGGAGGGCCGGGGCUCCAGGAUCCCAGGCUGGGCAGUCACUGGCUCCCCCAGGAAGGGCCACAUUCCGGUGGGCAGACAGAGGGUUGGGGAGGGUGGUGGGCAGCCAGCCGCCUGGAUCCCGGCCGGGGCACCGUCCCGCAGAGCUUGUCCCGCACAGACUCAGUUUCCUAACCCAGCAAGUGGGAGUCCACUGUGAGAAGUCCAGCCCUACGCAGAUGCGUGCGAAUCCCCUAAGAGCCAUGCCUGAGCCCUUGGCGGAAGCAGUUGGCUCCUCGUGUCAUGCAAAGGGCGGCAUUUUCAUUCCUAACAGGGAGGUGGCCCCGGAGCAUCCAGUUCAAAGGAGCUAGGAUGAUCCAGGGUCCUCUCACGUGGGCCUUGGUGAGUGGCCACACCCUCUGAGACCCCCUUUCAUCCCCAUAGAAAGGUCCUAGCAGGGCUGUGCCAGGGGGAUCCGCGGGUGGCAGGGUGGCCCCAUCUGCAGUGGGCCCAGGAGGAUAGCAACAGGACUUAGCAGUGGUGGGAUUGUAUUUCUGGGCCCUUCUUCCCCCACAGCCCACAGCCUCCUGACGGGACCCCUCCCCCCAGAACCUGAAGGACGGACCUCAGGUGUGGAGCUCCCUCACCAGACAGAGGGGAGGAGCCCAGGUCCAUCUCCUCAAAGGGACCCACCAGCCCCUCACGCGGCUGCACACAAGGCAGUCCCAGCCAGGCCCCAGGUUGAGGCAGACUCAGCCUAUGUCCUCAAGAGGCUCCCUGGAGAAGGCAGGACCCAGAAGCUUCUCUCUCGGCUGACAUGGCCUUUGCGGGCAGCCUUCCCACCCACAUCCCCAGCAUGAGCCCCAGCUCCUUGGAGCCCAGAGUCCAAGAAAUGGCCUUUCUGCCACUGACCCCUCCCGUGGAAUGGCUCCUCCCGAGCAGGGAACCUCUGCUGGGACCCGUCAGCUGCAAGAAGGCCCGUCCCCGAGAGAGCCCUGCAGGGCAAGGGGAGAGGGACCCCGGGGUAGGGGUGGAGAGCAGCUGAGGGGACAGACACAGAGAAGACCAGGCAGGGGCAUAGCCUGCUGAUGGGGGAUGCCAUCCUCUCGGUCACAGCUGAGCCAGGGCAGCCUCUAAGCUUCCUAAGUGGGGAAACCAAGGCAGAGAACCCCAGGACUGGGGCCACCGCUGUGGUCAGCCGGUUGGGGGUGGCCUGGGCCUCUCCAGUCUCCACUCUUCCAUCCAGCUUCAUGGGGAGCAACAUUUUUUUCACCUCAAGGCCAAAUUAGGAAGAACAAACAUGUUUUAUUUAUCAGUGUCACUUUUUUUUUUUUUUGUUUUAGAGACAGGGGUCUCACUAUGUUGCCCAGGUUGGACUUGAAUUCCUGGGCUCAAACAAUCCUCCUGCCUCAGCCUCCCAAGUUACUAGGACUACAGGUGCACCACUUAGUUACAUUUUUUUUAUACACGUGAAAACAGCUUUUUUGCUGGGCGCAGUGGCUCACGCCUGUAAUCCUAGCCCUUGGGGAGGCCGAGGCAGGUGGAUCACCUGAGGUCAGGAGUUCGAGACCAGCCUGGCCAACAUGGUGAAACCCCGUCUCUACUAAAAAUACAAAAAUUAGCUGGGUGUGAUGAUGGGAGCCUGUAGUCCCAUCUACUCAGGAGGCUGAGGCAGGAGAGUGGCAUGAACCAGGGAGGCGGAGGUGGCAGUGAGCCGAGAUCGCGCCAUUGCACUCCAGCCUGGGUGACAGAGUGAAACUCCAUCUCAAAAAAAAAAAAAAAAAAGAAAAGAAAAAGAAAGUAGUUUUUUUUCCCCCUAUGCUAAAAAUUCAAACAAAGCAAACAAGCAAAUUUUUAGAGAAGAAAAUUCCAUUGGCCACAAUCUGUAGCAGGGAGAGCUGUUUUUUUUGUUUUGUUUUUGUUUUUUUUUUGAGGCAGAGUCUUGCUCUGUCACCCAGACUGGAAUGCAGUGGUGCAAU
rnacentral:lncRNA from 1 species